rnacentral:rRNA from 1 species
UACGUAGGGGGCGAGCGUUGUCCGGAAUGAUUGGGCGUAAAGGGCGCGCAGGCGGCCUGUCAAGUCAGUAGUGGAAGUCCAUUUUUCAAGGAUGGAAGUGCUAUAGAAACUGAUGGGCUUGAGUGCAGGAGAGGUUAUCGGAAUUCCCGGUGUAGCGGUGAAAUGCGUAGAGAUCGGGAGGAACACCAGUGGCGAAGGCGGGUAACUGGACUGCAACUGACGCUGAGGCGCGAAAGUGUGGGGAGCAAACAGG